rnacentral:rRNA from 1 species
AAUAAACGCUGGCGGCGUGCCUAACACAUGCAAGUCGAGCGAGAAAGUUCCUUCGGGAGCGAGUACAGCGGCGAACGGGUGAGCAACGCGUGAGAAUCUACCGUUUAGUGGAGAAUACCUUCGAGAAAUCGAAGUUAAUACUGCAUACGUCCUACGGGAGAAAGGUGGCCUCUUUGCUACCGCUAAAUGAGGAGCUUGCGUACUAUUAGCUAGUUGGUAGGGUAAAAGCCUACCAAGGCUAUGAUGGUUAACCGGCCUGAGAGGGUGUUCGGUCACACUGGAACUUAGACACGGUCCAGACUCCUACGGGAGGCAGCAGUGGGGAAUUUUGGACAAUGGGCGAAAGCCUGAUCCAGCAAUGCCGCGUGUGUGAAGAAGGCCUUCGGGUUGUAAAGCACUUUUGUCCGGAAAGAAAUGGCUCUGGUUAAUACCUGGGGUCGAUGACGGUACCGGAAGAAUAAGGACCGGCUAACUACGUGCCAGCAGCCGCCGUAAAAC